rnacentral:rRNA from 1 species
GAUGAACGCUGGCGGCGUGCCUAAUACAUGCAAGUCGAGCGAAUGGAUUAAGAGCUUGCUCUUAUGAAGUUAGCGGCGGACGGGUGAGUAACACGUGGGUAACCUGCCCAUAAGACUGGGAUAACUCCGGGAAACCGGGGCUAAUACCGGAUAACAUUUUGAACCGCAUGGUUCGAAAUUGAAAGGCGGCUUCGGCUGUCACUUAGGGAUGGACCCGCGUCGCAUUAACUAGUUGGUGAGGUAACGGCUCACCAAGGCAACGAUGCGUAGCCGACCUGAGAGGGUGAUCGGCCACACGGGGACUGGGACACGGCCCAGACUCCUACGGGAGGCAGCAGUAGGGAAUCUUCCGCAAUGGACGAAAGUCUGACGGAGCAACGCCGCGUGAGUGAUGAAGGCUUUCGGGUCGUAAAACUCUGUUGUUAGGGAAGAACAAGUGCUAGUUGAAUAAGCUGGCACCUUGACGGUACCUAACCAGAAAGCCACGGCUAACUACGUGCCAGCAGCCGCGGUAA